rnacentral:rRNA from 1 species
GUCUAUGGCCAUACCACCUUGAACGUGCCCGAUCUCAUCUGAUCUCGGAAGCUAAGUAGGGUCGGACCUGGUUAGUAUUUGGAUGGGAGAUCACCUAGGAAUAUCAGGUGCUGUAGCAU